AGAGCACUGUUUCGGCAAGGGGGUCAUCCCGACUUACCAACCCGAUGCAAACUGCGAAUACCGGAGAAUGUUAUCACGGGAGACACACGGCGGGGGCUAACGUCCGUCGUGAAGAGGGAAACAACCCAGACCGCCAGCUAAGGUCCCAAAGUCAUGGUUAAGUGGGAAACGAUGUGGGAAGGCCCAGACAGCCAGGAUGUUGGCUUAGAAGCAGCCAUCAUUUAAAGAAAGCGUAAUAGCUCACUGGUCGAGUCGGCCUGCGCGGAAGAUGUAACGGGGCUAAACCAUGCACCGAAGCUGCGGCAGCGACGCUUAUGCGUUGUUGGGUAGGGGAGCGUUCUGUAAGCCUGCGAAGGUGUGCUGUGAGGCAUGCUGGAGGUAUCAGAAGUGCGAAUGCUGACAUAAGUAACGAUAAAGCGGGUGAAAAGCCCGCUCGCCGGAAGACCAAGGGUUCCUGUCCAACGUUAAUCGGGGCAGGGUGAGUCGACCCCUAAGGCGAGGCCGAAAGGCGUAGUCAAUGGGAAACAGGUUAAUAUUCCUG
rnacentral:rRNA from 1 species